rnacentral:rRNA from 1 species
CAGUAGCCGCGGUAAUACAGAGGGUGCGAGCGUUAAUCGGAUUUACUGGGCGCAAAGCGUGCGUAGGCGGCUUCUUAAGUCGGAUGUGAAAUCCCUGAGCUUAACUUAGGAAUUGCAUUCGAUACUGGGAAGCUAGAGUAUGGGAGAGGAUGGUAGAAUUCCAGGUGUAGCGGUGAAAUGCGUAGAGAUCUGGAGGAAUACCGAUGGCGAAGGCAGCCAUCUGGCCUAAUACUGACGCUGAGGUACGAAAGCAUGGGGAGCAAACAGGAUUAGAUACCCCAGUAGUCCCUGUCUCUUAUAC